rnacentral:rRNA from 1 species
GAUGAACGCUGGCGGCGUGCCUAACACAUGCAAGUCGAGCGAACGGCCGAGGAGCUUGCUCCCCUCAUGUUAGUGGCGGACGGGUGAGUAACACGUGGAUAACCUGCCUAUAACACUGGGAUAACCUCGGGAAACGGGAGCUAAUACCGGAUGCUAUUCGGAACGGCAUGGUUCACGAGUGAAAGACGGUCUUGCUGUCACUUAUCGAUGGAUCCGCGCUGCUUUGGCUAGUUGGUAAGGUAACGACUUACCAAGGCAACGAUGGAUAGCCGACCUGGGAGAGGGGUCGGCCACACGGGAGCGGGGACACGGUCCAGACUCCUGCGAGAGGCAGCAGUAGCGAAUGUGAGGCAGUGGGGGGAAGCAUGGCGCAGCGGCGCCGCGUGAGAUGUAGAGAUGUCGGGAUCGUGAAGCUGUGUUAUGAGGGAAAAACAUAUGUUAGAGGAGAAGUAGAGAUCUUGACGGUACCUAAAGAGAAAGCCACGGCUAACUACGUG